rnacentral:rRNA from 1 species
CGUGAGCUUGUCCAUGUUGGCCGUGGACAGGCGGCUGCGCUUGUCUGUGAUAACCUCAUGCUGAUCGCACGUCCCUGUGAUGGCAAAAACGCAUUCGGAUGUCUGCCCUAUCAAUGCUAUUUUCUGCGCCUACCAUGGUGACCACGGGUAAUGGGGAAUCAGGGUUCGAUUCCAGAGAGGGAGCCUGAGAAACGGCUACUACAUGCAAGGAAGGCAGCAGGUGCGCAAAUUACCCACUCCCGACGCGGGGAGGUAGUGACG